rnacentral:rRNA from 1 species
UACGGAGGGGGCUAGCGUUGUUCGGAAUUACUGGGCGUAAAGCGCACGUAGGCGGCUUUGUAAGUUAGAGGUGAAAGCCCGGGGCUCAACUCCGGAAUUGCCUUUAAGACUGCAUCGCUCGAAUUGUGGAGAGGUAAGUGGAAUUCCGAGUGUAGAGGUGAAAUUCGUAGAUAUUCGGAAGAACACCAGUGGCGAAGGCGACUUACUGGACACAUAUUGACGCUGGGGUGCGAAAGCGUGGGGAGCAAACAGG